rnacentral:pre_miRNA from 1 species
AGCCUCCUGAAUCCGUGCCGAGACUUCGUCAGACACUUGGCCACCAGGACUGAUGCGACUUUCAAAAAAAGUGAAACG